GCAGCCCCGUCUCCGUCCCCCGGAGCCCUCCCCUAUGGGGGCGACCUCAGCGGCCUCGCUGCUCCUCCUCCUCCCUCCUGGCGGCUGGCAUCAGCCAAAAUGAACAAUGGCCUUUCAGAAAUACUCUGGAAAGGAGCAGGACACCCCAGAAAAGGCUGCAGCAGUAAUAUCUACUAUGCAUCAAAGAAUUCAGGCACAGAGGACAUCUUGAAGCACAGGUGCAUAGAAAUCAGAUUUCUUUGUUACAACUACUUAUUUGCUCUGCUUGAUUUUAUGUGAGAUUUUUUUUCUGUUUAAAAUGUAUAUUAAAUAAGAAGACAGACUCAGCAGCGUAACAGCCUAUCUUAUAAUUCCUUCUUUCUCUAAGGUAUUAUUGUUAAAAUAUGUCUAUCAUCAGUUUCCACUGGAAGUUCUUUAGCUUCAGAAGGAGGGAGUAAUUUAUCACGUGCUUGUAAAGCAGCCAGCUUGCCUUUCCUGGGCAGAUCCUGGCACAACAGUUGUUUAAGGAGCAGUAAGUAGUUCACUGAGUAACACAGAAAAUGCUUUCAUUUCUGAAACAAACAAUUUGGAGCCAUUUUUGUGGCGUCAUAUAAGCUCAGAAUAAUUGAGUUACUUGCCUAUGUCCGGGGUCAUUUUUGGGAAUAAACAUACACAGUGACUGCCAGUGCAGUUCAUGAAACUCACAGCUGUAUUAACGCAGGUAGCAGUGUCAGUCAUCUCUUGAGCAAGUGUAUGAUGGAAACUGUGCCCAGAAUACCCACGAUCACAGGGUCUAUUCUGGCAUCAGGUCAUACUAGAGGCUUUGAGAGACAAAAAAAAAAACAAAAAAAAAAACACUUGAGAGAGGCCCGCUACACGAAGCAGUAACUCCUGGGUAUACAAGCAAGGAUAUAAGUCCUGGGUAUACAAGGACUUUGGUACAAAUGCCAUGCUCAAACUCAUGGUCCCUUCCAGGCAGGCCCACAACUACAAGACCUCAGGUGUUUAAAUUAGGAUCUUCUGGGCUGCUAUUGCUGAAAUACAGAUUUUAAACUUGGCAUUGUGUUAGUGGUAAGCUGUCUUCUGUAUUGAAACACCUUGUGUGCCCUGAAGAAAAUUGUAGGCCAUAGAGGACCUUAUAUAGUAUGUGUAAAAUGCAGAAAAACAUGGAUACAUUAUCUUUUUCAAUGAAGUAUCCACUUCACAUACAGCUUUGCAGAAUGUCAAAAAAGUGGUUUUCAAAUGGAGCUGAAACAGGAAAUGCAUGAAAAUAAAUGGUGAUGUUUUUUCACUUUAUAGUUCUAUUUCCUCUAGUUUGCCUUAAUUUUUAUGAAUACAUAGCUGUAUAAAUGUAAGUAUAGGUUUUCUUUAUGCAUAAAUGUAUGCAAUAUGUGUUUUGGACAAUAAAUUUUACACAGUGAUAUGUUUAAAUCACAGAUUAUAUUUGCUGUACUAGUGCACUAGUACACAUUGUGUAGUAUGAUAUAUAACACAGUGAAAAUGGAUGUAUUCUGUGUAUAUAUAAUAAGUAUUUACACAUUGGCAUGUCUAUAUAGAAAUAGUAGAAAACAUUAGAAUAUUUACUGUUACAGAAUACUACCCAUAUUCCAUAUAUAUGUAUGUGCCCCAAGCAGUUUGCAUGCCUCUUUGGAGCAGCCUCUCUAGGAAAGGUCCGUGCAUCUUAAUUGACCUAUUGUUGCUGUACGCUUGAUCACAUUUCUGCAGUCUGAGGCAGAGACUGAACACAAGCUAACUGCAAUUAAAGCAGUGUGUGAUUCUGGCCCACAGCCUGCACAAGUUUGGAUACAGCUCAGUGUCCUGCUUAAUGUGACAAAAAGCUGCAGUUUGCCCUUAGACUAAAGGUUGAAGUAUGAUUUUAUUUUUUAUGCAGCUCCUGUUUUCACCGGCACCAAGUUUUUAAAGCAAGUGCUCCCCUCUGAGUGUUACAGGAGGGCUCUGAAGUGAGUAAGGUCCCUGAUGUAGAUAAAAAAAGCUCUGUCACUGUCCUACACCCUUCCAGUCUCUGAGAACCUUCAGUGUAGGCAGCCCAUUAUUCAAAGUAAGAAUGUUCACAACCACACUCUAAGGGUAAGAAUUAAAAAUGUAGUAGUGAUAGUGAUUAAUAAUUCAAGUGUGAAUUUCAAGAAGCUAGCAAAGGUUCCAAGCACUGUAUACAUGUGUGUUUGUUUAUGUGUGGAGGGUGAUGUUGUCUGUGUAUGUUUCAGUGAUCAAUUUGAAAAAAUUAAGUAAAAUUACCUACGUAUUGUAUAUGUGAAAAGAAGUUACAUAUUUGGUUAUUCAUUCCACAUCCGUUUGACAGUGAGAUAGACUUUGGGAUACUGCAUCUUAUGUACUCUCCUCUCUGAAUUUACAACAACUUGAGAUCCUUUUAGUGAUUUUAAUGGAAUUUGUUUUUAAGAAAUAUUUUUCUCUGGAGAAAGAAAAAAAUUAAUGCUGCUGAUAUUGAAUACUUGAUAUUAUCUAUGUGAAUCUAUCAAAUAAUCAUUUGGGUAAGUCUUCUACUGGAUUAGCCUAUUUACCCCCAUUACCAUUUGUCCUGCAGCUUCAUUUGAAUGCAAAAUUUUGGUUUACUCUGCUAUCUCACCAGUUAUGUCUUCUAAUCACAGUCCAGACCUAAAGGGUCUUAGUAUCACUGUUCUUGGUGUCACUAGUGUUUGUAUGAUUACAUGAUGAUUACAUGCUUUUUCUAACUGAUUUUUGUUCCAUGCACACACUGUUCAAACUGCUUUCAUGCAUAGGCAAGCUGGCAUGGCUCUUGUGCUCAUUUCCAGCAAAUAUUCAGCAUUGUCAUUAAAACCAUGUUGGUAAUUCACUUCAGCCACCUUCUGUAAGCUUUAUAUCAACCACUAGUCAUUGUCAGCCUGUGUCCCAUUGCAUUCUCACUCAUGAACACAGAAAGCCCAUCCACUAACAUAAAAUUUUAAUCCUAGUUUUGCUAUGUGAAUCCUAGUUUUGCUAUGCUAUUGUUAAACAGAUAGAUGCACUUCAUUUUGUGUAUGUGUGAAAAAUUCGACUAGAAUUAGAUAUUGCAGAAUUCUAAUGAUAAAAUAUAGCCAAAGUACAUCUUUCUGCUGAGAUCAAUUUUCUUUAUAAGCAUCAAACACAUCUAUUCAAGGCCCAAUAAAAUUCUUUUCUUUUACAGCUCCUGGGGAUAGAGAACACAGCACAUUGUAACAACAGCAAUAGACUCAGCCGUGAGAGAUCUUUAUCAGGCAUCACAAAGAAUUUGAGGCAGCUGGCAGUUAUCAGCUGAAACAGAAACUAGAAAUCAUUCCAUACAUUUACAAUGAAAGACCAAAAAACAAGUCAAAUUCAUCAAAUGUUUCCAGAGUGCUAGCUACCAAUAUUAAAGUAAGUUCCAAUUUUCUUUAGGAAUGCAACAUACUUUCACAACCCAUUAAGAAAAUUUAAAUGUGCUCAUUACGUAAAUAAUUUGUGGCCUUGAAAACUAACCAAAUUGCAUGUUUUUAGUGCACUAUUUUAAUGUGUUCUUCUGCUGAGCAUGAAUUAAUUGUGUGCUUCUGUAAAUUUCAGCUCUAAGUGGUGAUUGCUUAGAAUACUUUGUCAUUUUUUAUCUUACUCAAUGGCUGCUAAAAUAAUAAUGUAAAUGAAAUAAUGUAAUGAUGAACUUUCAAAACUUACAAGUCUAAUGCUUCAAUCUUUCUCUGUGCUAUGAUCCAGAUUGAAGAGGAAAAAUUACCUUUUUUUUUUUUUUUUGACAGACUAUGCAGCUAUCCGAGGUGGAGCCAUCUCUGUAGGAGAUAUAAAUAGAGGAAAGUCUUAGAGUCUCCUGUUCAUAUUCCCUAAUUGUGCAUAAAAAGGGUCAUCCCUCACUAGCUUGUGGUGGUCAAAAGUGAAUUCAGUGCUCUGAAGAUGAAGAGAUGAAGAUGCCUGUUCUGCAUAGGUACAUGAACUAACUGUUCAAACAAACACCGUGGUGUAGUGUACCCAAAGACACUUGCUGUCCUGCCAGUGGAAAGUGAAAGGCAUCCCACUUAGAUAUUCUUUAUUUCCUCUUUGAGGCAUUUAACCCACUGACUGUGUGAUGGCUGGGAUAUCUAAAGGAACAAGUCUGAAUCAUCCUGUCAGGUAGAUGUUUUAACACUGGCAGCUACCACAGUCUGAAUAUUACCCUGAAUAAUAUCAAUAGGUUGGUCUGUAGAAAUACAAUACUUUUCUCAAGCUAACAUGAAAAAUCAGAACCUAUUGACUGUGCAAUUAAUUUUCCAUACUUUCCUUCAUUGCGUUGAAAGCAUUGGACUACAUGUUCAAAAACAUGCAUGAAGAGCUUUUAGUUAUUGUCUUUAUGUUUUGGUAAAAUUAAGCUUUAUUUUGCAGCUCUCCUCUGGGAUAGUAACAUAUUACCCAAGCGUGUAAAACCUAACAGUAAAUAUUAUAUUUUGAUGAGUGUUUUUGCAUGGUUCAGAAGUAAAACUCCUCAACAUAUCUUGUAUUUUAUUCUUUACCGAUUACAUCAAAAAUAUAGUUGUGCAAUUUAUUGUCUCCAGGUAGUUUCUGUCAUUCCUGUGUAGAGCUACAGUAGACAAUCCUGUAUAAGAACUUAUAAUUUAUAGAAAUUUAUUUUUCUGUGGGUCAUGAGACUGAGAUAUUUUCUGUUAUCUUGGAAUUGUAUUGCUAUGUCACAAAAUCAGUAAUAAAUUAUUUUUUCAUAUUA